GGUGGUUUGUUGUAGUCAUUGCCACUGCAAGACCGAAGUUCCGAACGCUUCCCUCCACUUUUUUCUCCGGUUGUUUUGGAGCAAAAACCAAACAGCGCCCUCCACCCCACAGAAAACUCCCUUUUUGACUUCUCUUCUAUGACGCAAUGGUCCCCCCUCUUGACAGGCAUGGAGGCGCCCUCUUACAUGGGUCCACGCCACUCUAAAAUGCGUUCAAACUUUACCUUGAGUGAGUGCAUUACCUACCCACCCACCAGAACCUCUCUCUCUGUUAGUCGUUGAAGUCUCUUUUGCUCUCUUCUGUACUGCAGUCCCAACCUUGCCAUCUCUUCCUCACGCUGACAACAGCAUCAGAAGGCGUCGGCGGACAUUUGUAUACACCAACGCACCCCCAAUGCACGCGUCUAGUUUUGCCGGCGUACGCCCAAGCAGUGCGCGCAAACGGCAGACGGCGACUACACUCACGCACUCAUGCGGUGUGUCGCCGACCGUUGGGAGAGGUCUCCCACCCUCAGAAGAGGAGCGGAGGGUCGAUAUAGCUUUAGGGCUUCUCACUCCUCCGAACCGAACCGAGUGGGUGAUGCACUGGAUUAAAGGCGAUUCCGUCCGUUCGCCUUCAAUCGAUGACAGCGAGCGCGACUGCUUCGGUUUCCCAAGCACUAAACACUUGGGGAGAGGAGCUUGUGAAUACAAAAUGCAAUGCUCCUCUUGCGUCAGGCGAGGCGACUCUCUAACCGCAACCGGACACCGCUAGAGAGGCUUUAAUUACGGCCUGGAUUACAGUCCUUCGAUGGCUCGAUGCGCGCUGGAGUUAUUGGAUUUUCUAGUUCCUCUCGUAAAACUCAAUAAUCCUCUUCAUUUAUAGUCGUGUAUAUUUGUUGGACAUUUUUUCCCACAAGCUUCGUGGAACUUCCUACUAAAAGAGAGUAUGCCAUGUGAAGCAAACGAAUUAAGAACUUCUGGAUGAGCUGCUAAUGACGACAUCUACCCAUCCAAACCUGGACGAUCAUUAAAAAUGCAUUAAGCACUAGCGAGCUAGCUGGUGUAAA